GCCAGUGUAGUUCAAUGGCAGAACAAUGCUUUCGUAAAGCAGAAGUUGAGGGUUCGAUUCCCCCCACUGGCU
rnacentral:tRNA from 1 species